UUUCUAUCCCCGUGCUUCGUCUUAUCCCCAAACCAGGAAGAACGCGAGCUUGGGUACCAUUACCAGGUCGAAUUAGAGAUGGACUCAAAGUCCGAAAUCAACUUGGAGAGGGCAACACAUGCAUGGGUCUCCAACGGAAAGUCUCUCAGUACCCGAAGCUUGAAACUUGGCCAGUUGCUUUUCUCUGUGAAGAAUCUGCAAUUUUGGAAAGAGUGGAGCUCUGUGCAACGGGGAGCCAUCCAAUUUGAAGAUUGACACAUUGUGGGUACGGAACAAGGAGAGCAGCUGCAGUGUCGUAAAUUGUUGAAAUUCCAGAGCCUUGAUUCCGAAGGCUAUUUGGUUGUGGUGGUUGACAGAGGGCAAGGGAUGGUUAUGGCCUUUGGUUUCCUUUGUUGCCAUUUAGCACCAUCGUACGGCAGCAGGUUUGUAUUUGCUUUGCUGCUGCUGAGAGCGAGUUCGGUGAAGCAUCGUAGCUAUGAAAGCUUUGGGAGACGGGGCUCCAUCAUGGUCAUCGGGACGCUGCCCGGCAUGAUCAUCGGGUCGCUGCCCGGCAUGGUCAUCGGGACGCUGCCCGGCAUGGUCAUCGGAGGCGCUGCUCCGGCAUGGUUUCAUCGGGACGCUGCCCGGCAUGUUGGCUUUGACAUCAUUGACACCCGAAGGUGCUGUUGUGAGGAGUUGUGACAGAAAAGAAAAGGUGGUGGAGAGUAAUGGAAUGAGGUCUGAACCUUUUGUCUUCCAAGCUGCUUGCUGCUUUCUCCUUCUUGUAUUUUUUCCACGCUGCUGUGCUCCGUUGCGUCCUCCUGCUGCCUCUUCACGUUGCGGCCCCCCACUCGUCUUUCUUUUCAUGUGGUGCUUAUAUACUGCACUAGAGAUGAGUUUGGCUUGUGUACCACGUUGAAAGUUUUAGAGUUCAACUUGAAGUGAAAUGGCUGGACACCCUAUCUCCUUUCUCUUUUGACGUCCAGGUUGAAACUUUUUUUGUAACUGCUUGUCUAGAGUUUCAAACAAGCUAGAAGUCAGAUGCAAACCCAAUACAAGUAGCUUAAAAACUCUACAGUUUUUUUGUUUAGAGUUUUAUUAGCUAAUUAACUUGUCCGUCCUUUUUCUUAA